rnacentral:lncRNA from 1 species
AGAGCCUGGCACCUCACUCCUGUCUGUGAGAUCCUCUCACACCGUGCGAUCUCUACACAUGCCAUCUCCUCUUCAUCUUCCACCGUGAGUGGAAACAGCCUGAGACUCUCACCAGAUGUAGGUGCUGAGGCCAUGCUUCCUGUACAGUCUGCUGAACUAUGAGCCAAACAAACCUCUUUUCUUUAUAAUUUACCCAGCCUCAGGUAUUCCUACACAGCAACACAAAACAGACUAACACAGAUAACUGUAAGUUUCAUCACUGUUGCUGAAUUUGCUUGGCUUAAGUCAUGAGAAGCCAGAAUCUGAAUGGCAGAGGUUUUUUGCGAAAAUCAGUGAACUAAUAUUGGUAAAAUUGGAGCCCCAUGGAUGAAGGGUACUUUAGCUCAAAGUCAACAUGUAGUCAGAGUGGAUACAGUCAUUCACUGGAGGAAGAAGGGUUAAUGAAUAGAAGAAAAGCGUGACAAUGGUACAUCCUAGACAGACAACACUCCCUGGCAGCAUGGUGGGUUGGAUCUAUGAAUAAAAC